AAUCCCUAAUACUUUUUUUCAUUAUACCUAGGUAGUAGAUAUAACAACUAGAUAUUUAAUUUUGAUAUUAUCGUAGGCACAUAUAAAAGAAGAAACUGACUGAUGGAUUAAUCAACAUACAGUUUAUACCGUUGGGAUAUACCUUAAAAAAUAUUUUGAAAAUUCCACCCCUGUAGAGAUGAAAUAGGGAAUGAAAGUUUGUUUAAAAAUUCGCCAUUGUUAAAAUGCAUAAAAAGUUAAAAAUGAAAAUAGAUAGAUUAUCGGACAAUUGCAAAGCAGGGAGACACGUUUAUCGAAUUUCUUUUACAUUGAUUUCCGAUGUUGAAGUUUUGUGAAAAUUAUGUACAGUCUGUAUAAUAUGAACAAUGUAAGUAUUUAUGUAACAUUUAUAUAACAAAUUUUGUUUCUUGUCUUAUCAAGAUCUUUUAAUAGAAUACACGUUUUAUUUUUCGUUAAAUAUGUUCUUAUAUCUUAAUUUGAUUCAUUAAGUUAAGGCGUGUGAGCUUAAUUAGUAAUAAUUAAUGUGCGUAAGCCAGUAUUAGCGAGUCUGUAUACGUAUCAUAUCAUCAUGUAUGAGCUGUGAACACGAACACCUUGUAGCGUGUCGCAUCUCGAAUGUAUGUGUUGUCAAUCACAUUAGGGAACAAGAAAUUUACCUCCCUAUGGGAUGAAGAAUUACAAAGAACGGGUAUUAAAAUAUACUUAACCUAAUCUACUUAGUUACCUACCUACCACGAUUAAAGAUAUCUUUAAUCGUGCUACUUAAUCAUCAAUAUUCUAAUAAUUUAAUCUACCCAAGGAAAAUUUUAAUCACGAAUUAAUUUUAAC